rnacentral:rRNA from 1 species
AUUGAACGCUGGCGGCAGGCCUAACACAUGCAAGUCGCACGAGUGGCGGACGGGUGAGUAAUGUCUGGGAAACUGCCUGAUUGAGGGGGAUAACUACUUGAAACGGUAGCUAAUACCGCAUACCAUCGGAUGUGCCCAGAUGGGAUUAGCUAGUAGGUGGGGUAAAGGCUCACCUAGGCGACGAUCCCUAGCUGGUCUGAGAGGAUGACCAGCCAAACUGGAACUGGGAAACGGUCCAGACUCCUACGGGAGGCAGCAGUGGGGAAUAUUGCACAAUGGGCGAAAGCCUGAUGCAGCCAUGCCGCGUGUAAGAAGAAGGCCGUCGGGUGGUAAAGUACUUUCAGCGGGGAGGCGUGACCCGCAGAAGAAGCACCGGCUAACUCCGUGCCAGCCGCCGCGGUAAUUC